GUUGUAAGCCGGGGCAAGCUUGGUGCUACCUCUUUUUUGUUUCUUUGUUGUUGACUAGUAAUGGAUAGUUUCUAAAUACUGAGAAGUUAGUCUGGAGUGCCAAACUUUGAGAGUCGUAAGCCGAGAUAUUGAAUUCUAUGUGAUGAAUUGAGAAACUGAAUAUAAUAGAUAAGCUGAAGAUCAAUAAUUGAAUAUAUAUAAAUCACAAAGAGAGUAAGUGG
rnacentral:lncRNA from 1 species